UUGUCUCAAAGACUAAGCCAUGCAUGUCUAAGUAUAAACACCUUUAUACUGCGAAACUGCGAACGGCUCAUUAUAUCAGUUAUAAUCUACUUGAUCGUAUCCUCUUACUUGGAUAACCGUAGUAAUUCUAGAGCUAAUACAUGCAAAAAUUCCCGACUGGUGACGGAAGGGAAGUAUUUAUUAGGUCCAAAAUCAAUGCUGGCCAUUCCAAACUGGGGCAACCUGGGGUCAGGAAAAGUUGAUGAUUCAUAAUAACUAAACGAAGCGCAGGGCUUGUCUCGGCGCUGAUACAAACGAGUUUCUGCCCUAUCAACUUUCGAUGGUAGUAUAGGGGACUACCAUGGUCGUAACGGGUAACGGGGAAUA
rnacentral:rRNA from 1 species